AUGCCUCUCCACAGCCUGCUCUGUGUGCUGGUGACCUUGGCCUUCUCUGGAUCCAACUUGAGCCAGAAAGUGAUUCAGGUCCAGUCAACCACAAGCACACGGGAGGGGGAAACAGUCACCCUGGACUGUUCAUAUGAGACAAGAUCAAACUUUUAUCAUCUUUUGUGGUACAAGCAGCUUCUUAGUGGAGACAUGAUUUUUCUUAUUGGCCAGUUUUCUUCUUUUACACAGACUGAGAAGAGCAGCCGCUACUCUGUCGUCUUUCGGAAAUCAGCCAAGUCCAUCAGCCUUGUCAUUUCAUCCUCACAGCUAGAAGAUUCAGUCAAGUAUUUCUGUGCACUCUGGGAACGCACUCACAGUGUUUGA